AAGGACCCGAUGAAUUUGCAGCAGCCGCAACUUCAUGGACUGAAUCCGCGGACAUGACAGCCAUGGUUACAGCUCUUACUCAAGUGAUGGGAAGCGAUGAACAGCUUAGCUUCCAACAAUCACCGACGCCCUCAUCAGUACAAUCUGAAGUGAAAAAUGAACCUGCAGUUCAAGAUCAAGGUAUAUAUAUACACAUCUAUGGCUACAGUGAAAGAUUUGUCUAUUUAAAGGUAGGUGUAGCAACUAGGGUUGCAUCCGGAAAAGCAAACAGAUAAAAAAAAGAAUUACGUGUUAAAGAUGGGAUUGUCAACAUUUUUCAGCCGGUUGUGCUCCUUUUGUCUGUCGUCUUUCUGAUAUUAACUUGUUUUUGUUCGUAGCAGUCAUGAUCUAUCUCUUUCUCAAGUUUUCCUUUCUUUUCUUCUGGUCCUUCAAAAUUCGCCCCCCCCCCCUCUCUAUAUAUACAU
rnacentral:lncRNA from 1 species